GCCGUGGUGGCACAACCUGGUACUGCGCAAGCCUGGAAAGCUUGUUUCCGAAAGGAUUUCCCAGUUCAAAUCUGGGCCACGGCG
rnacentral:tRNA from 1 species